CCUACGGGAGGCAGCAGUGAGGAAUAUUGGUCAAUGGACGAGAGUCUGAACCAGCCAAGUAGCGUGAAGGAUGACUGCCCUAUGGGUUGUAAACUUCUUUUAUAUGGGAAUAAAAUGUUCCACGUGUGGGAUUUUGUAUGUACCAUAUGAAUAAGGAUCGGCUAACUCCGUGCCAGCAGCCGAGGUAAUACGGAGGAUCCGAGCGUUAUCCGGAUUUAUUGGGUUUAAAGGGAGCGUAGGUGGAUUGUUAAGUCAGUUGUGAAAGUUUGCGGCUCAAACGUAAAAUUGCAGUUGAAACUGGCAGUCGUGAGUACAGUAGAGGUGGGCGGAAUUCGUGGUGUAGCGGUGAAAUGCUUAGAUAUCACGAAGAACUCCGAUUGCGAAGGCAGCUCACUGGACUGCAACUGACACUGAGGCUCGAAAGUGUGGGUAUCAAACAGGAUUAGAUACCCUGGUAGUC
rnacentral:rRNA from 1 species